GACGAACGCUGGCGGCGUGCCUAAUACAUGCAAGUAGAACGCUGAAGGAGGAGCUUGCUUCUCUGGAUGAGUUGCGAACGGGUGAGUAACGCGUAGGUAACCUGCCUGGUAGCGGGGGAUAACUAUUGGAAACGAUAGCUAAUACCGCAUAACAGUAGAUAUCGCAUGAUAGCUGCUUGAGAGGUGCAAUUGCACCACCACCAGAUGGACCUGCGUUGUAUUAGCUAGUUGGUGGGGUAACGGCUCACCAAGGCAACGAUACAUAGCCGACCUGAGAGGGUGAUCGGCCACACUGGGACUGAGACACGGCCCAGACUCCUACGGGAGGCAGCAGUAGGGAAUCUUCGGCAAUGGACGGAAGUCUGACCGAGCAACGCCGCGUGAGUGAAGAAGGUUUUCGGAUCGUAAAGCUCUGUUGUAAGAGAAGAACGAGUGUGAGAGUGGAAAGUUCACACUGUGACG
rnacentral:rRNA from 1 species